rnacentral:tRNA from 1 species
AUGAGAUCACUGUUAGACAGGUAUUGUUGAUGUCAAUAUUAUAGAAAUAAAUAAUUCUAUCUCAUU